rnacentral:rRNA from 1 species
UUUUAUUUUAUUAUGAAUAAACUUGGAUGAGUUGAAAUAAUUGUUUUAUAACAAAACAAAAGGUUAUAACGGUUUAAAAUAAUAGAUAAUUAUUCAUAUAGUCUUAACUAUUUGAACUGGUUCGACAAACAAAUUUAUUUUUUAAAUCUCUUAGUUAUGAAUUUUUAGAAUAUUAUUAAUUUAGUAUUAUUUUAUUCCAAAUAAAUUUCUAUGAACAGAAAUAAUUAUUUUAUGACAGAACAAAAAGGUUCUAAUAAUUUGAAAUAGAUAAUUAUUCAAAUAGUCAUAAUUGUUUGAACUUAUUCAGUAAAUAGAUUUAUUUUUUGAAUCUCAUACUAAUUCUUGAAAUAUUAAUAAAUUAGUAUUAUUUUAUUUCAAAUAAAUUUGUAUGUUCAAAAUUAUUAUUUUAUGACAAAACGAAAAGUACUAACAAUUUUAUUUCGAAUAAGCUUGUAUGUUGAAAAACAAUUGUUUUAUGACAAAAUGAAAGGUAAUAACGAUUUGAAAUAGAUAAUUAUUUAAAUAUCCAUAAUUAUUUAAAUUGAUUCAGUAAACUAAUUAUGACAAAAUAAAGAUCAUUACGAUUUGAGAUAGAUAAUUGUUCAAAUAGUUAUAAUUAUUUGAACCGGUUCAGUAAAUAGAUUUAGUUUUUAAAUCUCUUAUUAAUUUUCAAAAUAUUAAUAAAUUUGUAUUAUUUUAUUUUGAAUAAUUCUAUAUGAAUAGAAACAAUUGUUUUACCACAAAACAAAAGGUCAUAAUAAUUUAAAAUAUAUAAUUAUUCAAAUGGAAAUAACUAUUUGAACUUGUUCGAUAAACAUAUAUAUAUUUUAAAUCUCCUACAUAUUAACUUGCAAAAUAUUAAUAAAGUAGUAUUAUUUUAUUCUGAAUAGACUUGUAUGAAUAGAAACAAUUGUUUUAUGACAAAACAAAAGAUCCUAACUAUUUGAAAUAAAAAAUUGCUCAAACAAUCAUAAUAAUUUGAGCUUACUCAGUAAACAGAUUCAUUUUAUAAAUCUUUUACUUAUUAAUUUUUGAAAUAUUAAUAAACUAGUAUUAUUUUAUUUCAAAUAGGCUUGUAUGGACAAAAACAAAUUAUUUAUCACAAAACAAAAGGUCAUAACUAUUUGCAAUAAAUAGCAAAUAUUCAAAUAAGAACUUUGAAGGCCGAAGGAGGGAAAGGUUCUAUGUGAGUAGCACUUGAACAUGGAUUAGUCGAUCCUAAGAGAUGGGGGGAGUUAGUCAAAUAGUGCAUUGAGUUCGAGCUUUGAAAGGGAAUCAAGUUAAAAUUUCUAAGCCAGAACAUGGAGGCUAAUGGCAACGUUAGGGAGUUUAGAGUCAUCGGCAGGGGACUCAGGAAGAGUUAUCUUUUUUGUUUAACUGCCUACCUACCCUAGAAACGGCUCAGCUAGAGGUAGGGUCCAAUGGUUAAAAGAGCACCACACGUCACGUGGUGUCUGGUGCACCCUCAACGACCCUUAAAAAUCUAAAGGAUCAUGCUAUUCGUGCCCAGUUGUAUUUAUAACCCAUUAGGUUUCCAAGGUGAAUAGCCUCUGGUCGAUGGAAUAAUGUAGGCAAGGGAAAUUGACAAAAUGGAUCUGUAACCUCGAGAAAAGGAUUGGCCCUAAGGGCUAGGCACUAGGGUCACAGUGUCGAACCCAUCAGCUACUGGAGCAAUACUCAAGUUGCUUUCGUGGUGAGAGUAGGUCGCCGCAUGCCAACCAAGGGAUGGACUAGGAAAGGCUCCCUUAAAGGCUUUUCUCGAGUGAUGAAUAGUUGACUCAAAAUUGAUAUAGAUAAGGGGAAUCUGAUUGUUUAAUUAAAACAAAAGCAUUGUGAUGGUCAUUACAAAUGUUCAUGCAAUGUGAUUUUUACCCAGUGCUUUGAGUGUCAAUGUGAAGAAAUUCAACCAAGCAUGGGUAAAUAGCAGAAGUAACUAUUACUCUCUCUAAGAAGCCAAAUGCCUUGUCAUCUAGUUAGUGAUGCACAUUAAUGGAUUAAUGAGAUUCCCAUUGUCCUUGUCUACCAUUUAGCAAAACCACAACCAAUGGAAUGGGCUUCAUAGAAUCAACAAAGAGAGAAGACCUUAUUAGGUUAACUUUAGUCUAACUUUGUGAAAUGACUUGAGAGGUGUAGGAUAAGUGGGAGACCUCGAAUGAAAUUGAAAUACCUAUACUUUUAAUAUUAUUUUACUUAUUCUGUGAAUCGAAAGUAGGGCACGACCCCCUUUUUUGGACCUAAGGCCAGCCUCAAUUAGUCAAUCUAGGCAAAAAAACAUUCUUAGGUGGGGAGUUUGGUUAGGAAGGAAAAUUUGUUAAAAGAUAAUGCAGGUGUCCUAAGAUGAGCUCAAUGAAAACACAAAACAUAUGUGGAACAAAAGGGUAAAAGCUCAUUUGAUUAUGAUUUCCAGUACGAAUAUGAAUUAUGAAAGCAUGGCCUAUCAAUCCUUUAUACCUUUGGAAUUUGAAGCUAGGGGUGUCAGAAAAGCUACCAUAGGGAUAAUUGGCUAGUGGUAGCUAAGCAUGCAUAGCAACAUUGCUUUUUAAUCCUUCGAUGCCAACUUUUCCUAUCAUUGUGAAGCUGAAUUCACGAAGUGUUGGAUUAUUCACCCACUAAUAAAGAACAUGAGCUGGGUUUAGACUAUCGUGAGAUAGGUUAGUUUUGCCUUAUUGAUGACAAUGUCGCAAUAGUAAUUCAACCUAGUAGAGAGGAACUGUUGAUUCACACAAUUGGUCAUCGUGCUUGGUUAAAAGUCAAUGGUGCAAAGCUACCAUGUAUUAGAUUAUGACUUAACACCUUUAAGUUAGAAUCUAGGCUAGAAGUGAUGCAUGAGCUUGUCACCCAAUUGUCAACCCAUAGUAGAAGCCUAUGGCCCCCAAAGGUACAUGUUGUAGGUGCAGCCUUUGAGGUGAACAAAUUAUGCGAGCCUCCUUAGAGCUUAAUUCCUACAAAG